rnacentral:tRNA from 1 species
GGGAGUGUAGCUCAGUGGUAGAGUGCUUGCCUAACAUUCAUGAGGCCCUGGGUUUGAUUCCAAGCACUGCAA